rnacentral:lncRNA from 1 species
UGCUAAGAGCGGUCCAAAAGUGUGUCGAUUUUUGGGUCUUGAUGAGCCAUAUGGGGUGGAUUCCAGAAUGUUCCAUGUGUCUGGUGGGAAUUCGAGUUUGAAUUUUCUUCAGGAUUUGAGUGUUUGGAAUUGUGAUCAUCAUAUAUAAUGUGAUCUAACGACUAUGAGAUGUCGUGACACCUGGGGUCCUUGAGUUUCGC